CAUUUCUCCAUAGCUUUUCGUGUUGAUUAGGCAGCACAGUGGGCUUAGCGGUUGGCACUGUCGCCUCACAGCAAGAAGGUCAUGGGAUUGAUUUCCGUCUGUGGC